GAUGAACGCUGGCGGCGUGCCUAAUACAUGCAAGUCGAGCGAACAGAUGAGGAGCUUGCUCCUCUGACGUUAGCGGCGGACGGGUGAGUAACACGUGGAUAACCUACCUAUAAGACUGGGAUAACUUCGGGAAACCGGAGCUAAUACCGGAUAAUAUAUUGAACCGCAUGGUUCAAUAGUGAAAGACGGUUUUGCUGUCACUUAUAGAUGGAUCCGCGCCGCAUUAGCUAGUUGGUAAGGUAACGGCUUACCAAGGCAACGAUGCGUAGCCGACCUGAGAGGGUGAUCGGCCACACUGGAACUGAGACACGGUCCAGACUCCUACGGGAGGCAGCAGUAGGGAAUCUUCCGCAAAGGGCGAAAGCCUGACGGAGCAACACCGCGUGAGUGAUGAAGGUCUUCGGAUCGUAAAACUCUGUUAUUGGGGAAGAACAAAUGUGUAAGUAACUAUGCACGUCUUGACGGUACCUAAUCAGAAAGCCACGGCUAACUACGUG
rnacentral:rRNA from 1 species